AAAGUGUCAGCGGUGGGUCAGCGGAAAAUGGAGGAAUUGUCAAAAGCUUUGGAACAGGACGUAUUCACGACACUGGCAGAUCAUGUCCGCGGAUGCCUUUGAAAAGGCGUUAGAAAACCACCAAACGUGAUGCCAUUGGGAGUCGAGGAGGAGUUGGCAGCAACGCUGAUUCGAUGGAUUGGUGAAUCCCUUUAGGCGUACGCAGUUCUGCAUAAUGCGCCGGUGCCUCCCCACAUUGUUAACCAGGGAAACGUCUACAUGAUGUUCAUUGAGGGCCAUAUUUUUUCCUUGGGUACUAGAUCAGUCCAAGCAGUAGAAACAUUUGUAAAAAAUUUCAUUGUAUUUAACUACAAGGUACCAGCUACAUUGAUAAAGAUGGCUGAAUUAGUUAAAAUACUUAGCUAUAAAGUAAAAAUGAGCAGUUCACGACUCUCAGUUAACAAACUUUGUAAUAAAAUGCGUGAGACGAUUAAUGCGAAUA